UGGGCAGCUGUCGCACUCGGCACUGCUCCACCAUACGCACGCACGUAGCCACAUCCUCACAGAGCGCAUCCAGCAAUCCGUUCCCCCAUCCAACCCCCCUUUCACUGGUAGUCAUCAAGGCAGACCCGGUGGAGACGCCUACUUUCAUUCACUCUCCAAACUGGACACAAGAAUCUCGAUCGCUCUAACGAAUAGCAUAACUCCAGCCUCUACCAGCAGCAGUACCAUGGCAACCAAGAGACCAGGGGACAGGACCUCUUCUUCAGGACCACAGUCAUGUCCCUCUACAGCAGUAAGACCCACAGACAGCAGGCAGCCUGGGGCAGAGACACAGGAGACACUGGUGUACAUGCAGUGCUGUGGGCAGGAAGCCCCUAACUUGACAGAGAGGAACAGUCAUAGGAAAAUCAUGGAUAGAAACCAUCAGGGCCCAGUCUUCGUGCCCCAGGGGAGGACUGAGAGGGUCUGGACCCACCCCCCGGCUCCCCAGCAGACUACAACUCCCAUAAUACCCUCCUGCCCUGUGUCUGCCCC